rnacentral:lncRNA from 1 species
CUGCUGUUUCCUUAUUUUUUGCAGGAAAGCAAAGGGUUGUUGACUUCCUCUCCCCUCCCUUCCUUCCUUCUUUCUGAAGGUACUGUACUCAUCUGAAAAAAAAAAAAAACACAAACCCAGAACGAAAUGAUUGUUCCUGUUCUCCUUCUUAAGUCAUUUGAAACAUUGUCCCUGCUAGUUUUCUAAGUUUACUGCAAUCUCUGCACAGGGGGGAGGGAGACAGUGGGAGACAGAAACAGAUAUUACAAACAUGAGAGCAGGUAGUGUUUAGGGCAAGACUCCUUCCAGCUUCAACAACUGGAUCGGUCCUGUGAUGCCUGUAGCUGUGGCCAGUGGAAUAAGCCCACAGGCUCAGUGAAAGCAGCCAAAGGUUAGUAGUGCAAGGAAAAUGUUUAUUUCUAGUAAUUUCAAGCAGUUCUACAGGUCUGUGCUCCAGA